AUACGGAGGGUGCAAGCGUUGUUCGGAAUCACUGGGCGUAAAGGGUGUGUAGGCGGCCUCGUAAGUCGGAUGUGAAAGCCCUCGGCUCAACCGAGGAAGUGCAUCCGAUACUGCGGGGCUUGAGUCCCGGAGAGGGGGGCGGAAUUCCCGGUGUAGAGGUGAAAUUCGUAGAUAUCAGGAGGAACACCGGUGGCGAAGGCGACCCCCUGGACGGAGACUGACGCUCAGACACGAAAGCGUGGGGAGCAAACAGGAUUAGAAACCAUAGUAGUCC
rnacentral:rRNA from 1 species